rnacentral:rRNA from 1 species
UACGUAGGGGGCAAGCGUUGUCCGGAUUUAUUGGGCGUAAAGAGCGUGUAGGCGGCCAGGUAGGUCCGUUGUGAAAACUCGAGGCUCAACCUCGAGCUGUCGAUGGAAACCAUCUGGCUAGAGUCCGGAAGAGGAGAGUGGAAUUCCCGGUGUAGCGGUGAAAUGCGCAGAUAUCGGGAAGAACACCCGUGGCGAAGGCGGCUCUCUGGGACGGUACUGACGCUGAGACGCGAAAGCUAGGGGAGCGAACGGG